rnacentral:misc_RNA from 1 species
CAUCUGUAAAAUCGUAAAGCGUGAUACACAUUGAACGAUUAAGGCUGUAUUAAAUGUAAACUUGGAUGACCACUUGAAACUUUAAAGAAAUAUAUAUUAUACUAGAGAUUGUGUCUUCGGUUGAAGUGAUCAUCAUAGUUUAAGCAUACUGUGAAAUUAGAAGCAUUUCUUAACUUGGUGUUCGCCUUUAAAAAGGUUCUCUUUUGUGGCUAACGUCAAUGUUAAUAAAACUAUAUUCAUUCGUUCUCAUAGUUUUCCAUUUGUGAAAAAUGACAUCGUAAAAUAUUAUUAUUAUAAUAUUAUCAUCAGUGGGAAUAAAAUAAUUCUCUAUCGUUAGUGUCUCCCAUCCGUCGUCGCGUUUACAAAUACCGUUGAAGAUUUUUUCUAAUAGUAUCAUCAAAUCGUUAUACUUUCAUGCAAUGUUAGUAGUUUGCCGCUUUGCGCUCAAGACGUAUUACGUUAUUUUUUUAGUAGACGGCAUACCAAUGUUGUGAUUAUCGCAUUUUGUGAUAAAAAUUAACGACGAUUAACCACUCCGAGUAAUACCAUCGCAUCAUGUUCUGGACUAAUAAUUACGUAUCAUCGCCUCAUAUUGAAGCGUUGCUUAACAAAGAGAAUGUUACGUUGCACGAAUUAAUGGAUGAAGAGGACAUCUUACAAGAAUGUAAGAGUCAAAACAAAAAGUUAAUCGAAUACCUUGUAAGGCCCGAUGUAAUGGAAGAAUUAGUAAUGCUUACAACUAUGGAACCAUCUAUCGAUAUUGAAGAACGUUUGCGUUACAAAUAUCCUAAUGUUGCAUGUGAAUUACUUACUUGCGAUGUGCCAACGCUUAAUGAGAAGUUAGCAGGUGACAAAACACUUCUGAACAAAUUAUAUGCUUUUAUAGACACCGAUCAACCUUUAAAUCCCUUGUUAGCAUCGUUUUUUAGUAAAACCAUUGGUGUACUCGUUGCUCGUAAGAGUGAUCAGAACUGGUAUUCCUAUCAGUUCACAUGUUUACAGGUUAUAGAAUUUCUUCAAGGCCAACAAAAUUGCGUAGACUUACUCUUACAACAUUUAGAGACUUCCGCUAUUAUGGACUUAAUAUUAAAACUAGUAACGCAAGUUGAAGGAGGUCAUCUGCGACAAAAUAUAUUAAAUUGGUUAGAUAGUCAACAGUUAGUACAAAGGUUGAUUAAAUUAUUGUCUCCUACGUCGGAGCCAACAAAACACGCAAAUGCUUCUCAAUUACUUUGUGACAUGGUAAUCGUAGCAAGAGAAAAUCAACGUACGUCAACAGAGCAAAUAAAACCAGGUCCUAUUUUGAAUACUUUAAAGUCAGAAGAAACUGUAAGUUUAUUAUUAGAGACAAUCUUGACAAGUGAAAAAUCAGAAAGCAGUAUUGUGGGUGGGAUUCAAGUGCUUCUUACCCUUCUGGGUCAAAAAGUAAACACUGCCUUAAAUGAAGUCGACAUUCAUGGAAAUGGUUCCAACGAAGACAUGACAGAUGAUAACGAACAAUGUAUUAACAUUUCUAAUGCUACUAUACCCUACUUGGAACAACUUCAUAAACUUCUUUUAGAUCCACCAGUUAAAGCUCCUGUAAAAACAACAGCUGGAAUUUUAGAUUGUCCAUUGGGCAAGACACGCUUGCAUGUCGCAAGAUUAUUAAUGGCCUUGUUAUCAACCGAAAAUGUAAAAAUUCAUGAAGCAUUGGCAGAUUUAGGAACAUUCCAAACUUUAUUGGAUCUAUUUUUUAAAUACACAUGGAACAAUUUCUUACACACACAAGUACAACAAUGCCUAGCUUUAGCUAUUAAUUGUGAUUAUCAAGAUAAUAAUAAUAUUUAUAGCAAUAUAUUUGUUAAAUGCAGAUUGAUAGAACGUAUUUUGGAAGCUUGGGAAAAGAAUGAGAAUAAACAAAACAAAGAGAAUGGUAUUAGACAAGGAUAUAUGGGUCACUUAAUAAAUAUAGCGAAUAAUAUUGUACUACAAUGUGAAAAAAAUAAUGCGCUUGAUACUUUUGUGAAAACAAAUUUAUCAACCGAAUGUCUUAAUAAGUGGGAAAUACUUGUGAAUACGAAACUAGUGGAAAUCAACAAAACACGUGCAAUCUUCUUGAUUAGACCAACAGCAAAUAUGCCCAACUCUGAAGAUACUCCGGAUCGCUACUAUUUGAAAGAGAUGUACACUGACUAUCAGGGUCAACAAAUGACAUCCACUUUUAUUGAUAAUUUCGGAUUUCGUGAUAACCAAUUUGAUGCUGGGGAUGAUUCACUUCAUAGCUCCGCUGAUGAAAUAACAGCGUUGGCCUUUAAAAGGAUUAAUCUCGCCGAUGAAGAAAUGGAUCCAAGAGCAGAUCUAUUUGAUAAGAUCUGUCAGCAAAAACAAAAAGCAGGGCUUGAGGAAUGUGGUGGUGGAGCUGAAUGGACCGAUGAAGGUGACUUGACUUUCCAGACAGUAGUAGACAAACGAGAUUGGCACUCAAAACAACAUCAUGGAUCUAGUUCAUCCGAUGAAGACGAUGAAGAUCCUCGAGAUAUGCCCAUGGAAAUUGAUACUUCAGAUGUUUGGAAUUUUCCAGAACCAAUUCCAGCUAAUACAACAAUUCCCGAGGUAAACCCAUGGGAUGUUGUACCAUCAGAACCUCUUGAAUCUACUGGCUGGGCAAACUUUGAUAAUUUUGAAAGUACUUUAAGCAUAGAAAAUAAUAUUGCGGUAGAUAAUAAAACUUACGAAACAGUUACAAAAGACAUUGUUGAUGCAGCAACAAGUUUGGUCGAGAAGGAGACAGCACUGGAAAACAAAUCUGUGGAAAAUAUUGGAGGUGGUGAUUCUAUAACUGUAGAUUUGGUUGAUAGUACAUCCCAUCUGUCUACAGAAGCAAAUCAAAACAGUAAAGCUAGUGAUGAUAGUAUAUAUUCUGUAUGUACCUCUGACAAGAAUGCCAAUCCAAGUGAAAGAACACCUGAAACCAGAGAGGACAGUAAGAAUGAGUAUGUGAAAAAUUCGAUCGAAAAUGAUAAAACAUUAACUGAAAACAAAAUUGUUUGUGCUGUACAAAGUACACCAUCAGAUACAACGUUAAUGUCUAAGGAUGCCAAAUGAAAUGUUAAGAUUUAUUAAAAAAAUAUGGCAAUAGGAAAAGAAAAUCAUAUCAGUAUGAAUUAUGUACGGAUGUCUAGAACAUCUUGUGUCUUUAUUUUCAUUAGAUCACAUGAAUUAUACUUUACAGCAUUGGCGCUGGGCACUAAUUACGGCAGGAUUGCCAAUGUACAAGUCAACUUUUGCAAGUGGAAUGUCCUAAGUUUUUUUUUAUAUAAGGACUACUAACAAACUUUCGAAAAUUGUUAUUUAUACGUAUUCGAUAUAAAUGCAAGUAGUUGAAAGGAUAUAUUCAACUGAUGCAGGUUUAUCUUGUAUUGUUUUACAUUUGCAUGCUGAGAUAGACGAAAUAUAUAAUUGUACAAAAAAGAGCUAACCAAAUUAAGGACAUUUGUGCCUUUACUUGGUUUACUCGUUAUCUGUUUUCACAGAACAAGUAUUAUGUAGCAUUAUGGACUAUAAUGUUUUAAGUAACUUGGAUAUGAGGCUCUUUAUGGAAAGUCAUUGUAACGAUAUAUUUCACAACAGGUGCUUUAGCUUCUACAUUCAACAAGGCAAAGGUACUUAGAUGCAGUGCCUACUAUUUGCUUGAGUGUAUGCCCAUGCAACGAUGCGAUGUAAAAAAAGAAAGAAAAAAAAAGUAAACAAAAA